UACGUAGGGUCCGAGCGUUGUCCGGAAUUAUUGGGCGUAAAGAGCUCGUAGGCGGUCUGUCGCGUCGGCUGUGAAAUCCCGAGGCUCAACCUCGGGUCUGCAGUCGAUACGGGGCAAACUAGAGUAUUGCAGGGGAGACUGGAAUUCCUGGUGUAGCGGUGAAAUGCGCAGAUAUCAGGAGGAACACCAAUGGCGAAGGCAGAUCUCUGGGCCGUAACUGACGCUGAGGAGCGAAAGCAUGGGGAGCGAACAGG
rnacentral:rRNA from 1 species